rnacentral:misc_RNA from 1 species
GACCACAAAUUUGGCAAAGAUGUCUUUCCAAAGAACUUUCAGAAUGGAAGUCUUAUUGGUGGUGCAAGUCUCAAUGCAUCAAUACCAUUAAGUGAGCAGGAGGACGGAUGCGAACUGCAGCUCUGCCAACUUUUAGAAAGUUGUAUGGGAAGAUACAGAAGGAUCUACAGCCCGAUGAUGAGAUACAUGUAAUACUUCAGAACAACUAUAAUACAUACAGCUUCAAUGGCAAGAAAAAGCUAGUGCUUUCAACCACAAGCUGGCUUGGUGGAAAGAACGACUUUCUUGGUAUUGCUUAUCUCACUGUUGGGGGACUCUGCUUCUUUUUGGCAAUGUGUUUCACUGUUGUAUAUCUCGUCAAGCCUAGGAGGCUGGGAGAUCCCUCUUAUUUAUCAUGG